GCGGUUCAUUAUUCUUUACGUUAAUUACACAGAUGCGGCACUCUCAGCAUUAGGUGAACAGUUAGAUGCUACU